AUGAGCCUACAACUGGUUUUGGACAGUGCAUCUUCCUCUUUACUGCUGAAAGCACUUCGUCGUGAAGCUGCUGAAGGGGUAAACGUCUGCAUGGUACUUCACCAACCAAGCUAUACUUUGUUCAGAACGUUUGAUGAUAUAAUAUUUCUAGCAAAAGGUGGUCUUACUGCAUUUCACGGACCUGUAAAAAAAGUAGAAGGAAUACUUCGCUGGCAUUGGAAUCGUUGUUCCUGA